rnacentral:tRNA from 1 species
GCUUAAUUAGUUUAAUAUAAAAAUUAUAAAUUGUGGAUUUAUAGAUGAUUUAUCAUUAGGUA